rnacentral:tRNA from 1 species
AUAAUAUGGCUAAAUUAUAAUUUAAUUUCGAAUUAAAUUUUUUUAUUAGU